UUAAACCCUAAUUUCACAAUUUUGAUAAUUCAAUAAGAAUUUGAUAAAUCAAUGCUCCUAAAUCUAUUCAAUACUCUCUCUCGAGAUGUAUUGAACAUAUUCUCAUAAAUCAUCAGCCUAUAUCUCUAUGACGGAUGCAAUUUUACAAGAACGCAUAUAAUCUUUUUGUGAGCAAUUAAAGAUUUACAUAGGACAUAGGGGUAUAUUUCUAUCCCCUAUCGGACCCUAUGAUGAAUUAUAUAUGUCGAGUCUAAUCUAAUUUUCUCAAAU
rnacentral:lncRNA from 1 species